AUAUCUAUAGUAUAACAGUACUAGUAUAACUAGUAUAACAAUAAAAAUUAAUAGAGUCAUUAAAAUGGGGGGCUCCGCCCCCCAACCCCCGCCGGGGCUUCGCCCCUGGACCCCAUCAAAAAUUGCACCCCUCCAGUGGAGAUCAAUUAUCGUGAGGAUCAAGUGUCGUGCGGAUCAAUCAUCCACGGAUGAAGUGUCGCGGAUGAAUUGUCUGCGGAUGAGCGGUCGCGUCACCCUUUAAUUUUAUUUUUU